GUAGUUUAGUGGUAAGAACAAAAUUUGGUUUUUGUAGAGGUGUGGGUUCAAAUCCCACC
rnacentral:sRNA from 1 species